rnacentral:rRNA from 1 species
CAGCAGCCGCGGUAAUACGUAGGUGGCAAGCGUUGUCCGGAGUUAUUGGGCGUAAAGGGCUCGCAGGCGGUUUCUUAAGUCUGAUGUGAAAGCCCCCGGCUCAACCGGGGAGGGUCAUUGGAAACUGGGAAACUUGAGUGCAGAAGAGGAGAGUGGAAUUCCACGUGUAGCGGUGAAAUGCGUAGAGAUGUGGAGGAACACCAGUGGCGAAGGCGACUCUCUGGUCUGUAACUGACGCUGAGGAGCGAAAGCGUGGGGAGCGAACAGGAUUAGAUACCCGUGUAGUCCCUGUCUCUUAUAC